ensembl:lncRNA
GUGGGCCAGUAAAUUUAGUCAAAGAAUGCUCAGGUAUGUAUCGCCACCAUGUGGCUACCUUGUGAAGUUACGCCUUCAUGUAGCGAUCGCCGCAUCUUAAUGACCCGAUAUUCCACAAGAAACACAUGAACAUGGCCCAUAAAGAGAAAACCCCUAUGCGCGUUUGGCGUCAGACCAUUUCAUUAAUUUAUUGCUAUAUUCCGAAACGCCAAGUGUAGCCUAUAGACUUUCCAUGUAUGAUAAUAAAUAACGUAAAGAUCAAUAUCAACUGUCCCGUUUUCAUCGCAUUGGUCAAAUCUAGUCUACGUCGUGCGCGCUUUUAGUCUAUCCUGAUUACUCCAGCUGCUCCACUUCGUAUUCCGUUUCUGUUCGCGUGCGGUGUAUACUUGGUGUCAAUGUAACCUACUGUAGGUAGAGGAAAAAUCGCCAUUGUAACGUUAUUCAUUUUUUCUCGACUGGAACUAGUACAACGAUACUGCUUUGUUAUGGUUUUUGGAUUUGCCUAAAUUUCAUAUUUAGAUAGGGUGGUUUUAAGGACUACAGAGAUUGUAACAUAUGAAAUAAGACAGACGCAAAGAGGAUGUGGCCCAGAAACCAGGUCGAUGAAAUAUUGGCGCUAUCAUGAGAGGAAAUGGUAUGGACCUUUUAUGGAGAAUCUUAGCGGCUCUGAGCUUCGAUUGUUUUAAGGAUUCGGCGUCUUCACAGAGAGCCGAAGUGUCAAUAUCACAGUAAGUAAUAUUUCAUUUCCGUUUUAAGACUAGAUUAAUAGCAUAUGGAUCAUCUAUUUGAUCCCCCCCUCUAUAAGAGUGUGUGAAUUGUAACAAUAUAUUUGCUAUGAAGAAAAAAUCCAUCCUUUAGUUGUUAUGACAAAAGGUUUGUGAAGCAAAAAGGUUUACCUCCAUUCUCCAGCAUUGUCUUCAUGAGACACAUUAUGAAAGGUAUGAAAUAAUGUGUUACAUGACCACAAAUGUAGCCAGAAAUGCAUCUGACUUUGUUGGAAACCCUUUGUUAAACCAAAACAUAUCAUACAGUGUAUAUCAUACUGAAAAUGCAAUGACAUCUGCAUGUAUGAUAUGUGUUUUCUAUUCAGGAUUGCUGAAUGAUAGUUUCUAUACUUAUAUGAUCCUAUUACAUACCAUUUUGCCCCACAGCAUUUGUUUGGGAUAAAUUCAUUUUAGAAGAUUCAGAGUACUACACUGUAUAGUCUUUACCAUUGCACUUCAGCAAACACCUUGUCACGCCUACUUCUGCUCCCUCCCUCGGGCACUCAACGUCAACGGUCUACUAACUACCAGUCCUGGCAACCCACAUUGCGUAAACCUGGCAACCAUCAUGGCGCACACCUGCUCCCCAUUGUUAAGCACACCUGGACUUCAUCACCACCCUGAUUACUUUCCCUUCAUAUAGCCCUCAGUAAUCCUCAGUCAUCAGGCAGUAUUGGGUUUUGGUCACGUUCAGUACGCGUAUCCUGUUUUGUAUUUUCUUCAUGUUUAUCAUUAUUAAACUCACCUUCUGCGCCUGCUCCCUGACUCCCUGUGUAUACAUUACACAUCUCUUACCCAGAGUCCAACCCCUAACUUCUCAUCCCCUCUGUAGGUCUCCAGGCAAGCUGAGCUCCAGCCAGGCAGGUAGUCUGGAAAGCAGCUCCCUGACUGGCUCUCUCUCCUUGGGGCCAGACCUGCCUCACUGCCAGUGCUGCAUCUCCUACGAAGCCCGUCUGAAACGCCUGUCCUGUGGCCACCUCUACUGUGACCCCUGCACAGACCAGAUCGUCAACCUGGCCUUUGAGGACAUCGAGGGACUCUCUGAUUACCCCUGCCCCAUGUGCAAGUCCCUCCGCCAGCUUGGGGACCUGGGCCCCCCCUCUUAUGGGUACCUGGGUACCCCCUCUUUUGGGCCAUGUGGGACCCUGCAGUAGCAGGUGGCUAAAGAGCAUGGGAGCAGCUGGGGGUAAAACUGAGGCAGUUUAUACUGUACAUCAAGGGGUGUGGUUAAAAAACAAAUGCAUGUUGUCCCCUCUCCAGAUGAAAUACUGUAGGAACCAUUUAGACUUUUCAGUUAUGUCUUUAGUGUUUUGAUUUGAAUAUUUGAAUGCACUGCCUUACACUGAGAUUGUGAUCUGGUAUUGUGUGAUGGAUAGUGGCUCAGUGUUUCUUCUUUGUGUAAUAUGGUGGUGGAAGUGAAACUAAUGGAAGUGCAUAACAUUACAGAUAAUGUCCAUUGGUGUGCCAUGACAUACUGUAAAUUGAUAUUACAGGGUGAUUAAGCCAGAGCUAAGUAUUAGAUGUUUGUGUCAGACAGUUCUUUACAUUUAUGUGUACUGCUUAUUAUUAGUAGACAUUUGGACCUUACUUAAAAAAUAUGAUAUUUUGAGUAUACUUACUGCUUAUGCAUUUUAAUUUAACUUAAUUGUACAGUGCCAUGCUACUUUUAAAGUGUUCAAUAUCAUAUUGUAAAUAUAUAUUUUGCUAAAAAAAUAAA